AACGGAGGAGAUUUGUGCCUGUUAAAUUAUGGCAAAAAGGUGCAACACCGCUAUCUAUUGGUGCAGUGGUUAGCGUGAGUACUGCACAGAGGAAAGAGGACUUCACUGUGGUGUUGUUCUGAUUGUCCCGAGACUGUGACGCUAACUUUCCCACACCACUGCGGUGCUGUAUGCUGUGUUGCAGGAAAGAGCUGCAAUAAAACACCCCAUAACCCA